rnacentral:snRNA from 1 species
GGAUAUGAGGAUGAUCUAACUACUACAUCUCUCACCCCUUUGAUCGCCAGGAUUGAUUCAGCUGAUCUGGGUGGCUAAGCAGGUGUCCCCUUCCUCCCUCACCGCUCCAUGUGCGUCCCUCCCGAAACUGCAUGCUCGGUCGAAGAGGACGACCUUCCCCAAUAGAGGUGUACUGUUCAUCGGUCAAGGAAAUACGGUAGCUGUGCUCCCCUGCUAGAACCUCCAAACAAGUACAUUAUAUUUGCUACUAUUUUUCCUUCAGAUUUCCAGUGAACAGUGAAAUCUAUCCAUACUUCCUCAAGCAAUUUUGAUGUUGUCUGAGAGCUUGACUGAUAAC